rnacentral:rRNA from 1 species
AACCUGGUUGAUCCUGCCAGUAGUCAUAUGCUUGUCUCAAAGAUUAAGCCAUGCAUGUCUAAGUACAUGCCGAAAUAAGGCGAAACCGCGAAUGGCUCAUUAAAUCAGUUAUGGUUCCUUAGAUCGUUUCUUCCUACUUGGAUAACUGUGGCAAUUCUAGAGCUAAUACAUGCAGUGAGCCUGAAGCCCUUUGGGCGACGGGUGCUUUUAUUAGACCAAGAUCGAUCGGGUUUCGGCCCGUAUUGUGUGGUGACUCUGGAUAACUUUGUGCUGAUCGCAUGGCCACGAGCCGGCGACGUUUCUUUCAAGUGUCUGCCUUAUCAACUUUCGAUGGUAGGUUACUUGCUUACCAUGGUUGUUACGGGUAACGGAGAAUCAGGGUUCGAUUCCGGAGAGGGAGCCUGAGAAACGGCUACCACAUCCAAGGAAGGCAGCAGGCGCGCAAAUUACCCACUCCCGGCACGGGGAGGUAGUGACGAAAAAUAACAAUACGGGACUCUUUUGAGGCCCCGUAAUUGAAAUGAGUACACUCUAAAUCCUUUAACGAGGAUCAAUUGGAGGGCAAGUCUGGUGCCAGCAGCCGCGGUAAUUCCAGCUCCAAUAGCGUAUACUAAAGCUGCUGCGGUUAAAAAGCUCGUAGUUGGAUCUCAGUUCCAGACGAGUAGUGCAUCUACCCGAUGCGACGGCUCGGACUGAACAUCAUGCCGGUCCUUUCUUGGUGCACUUCAUUGUGUGCCUCGAGAAGGCCGGUGCUUUUACUUUGAAAAAAUUAGAGUGCUCAACGCAGGCGAGUCGCCUGAAUAAACUUGCAUGGAAUAAUAGAACAAGACCUCGUUUCUGUUCUGUUGGUUUUUGGAAUACGAGGUAAUGAUUAAGAGGGACAGACGGGGGCAUUCGUAUUGCGGCGCUAGAGGUGAAAUUCUUGGACCGUCGCAAGACGAACUACUGCGAAAGCAUUUGCCAAGAAUGUUUUCUUUGAUCAAGAACGAAAGUCAGAGGUUCGAAGGCGAUCAGAUACCGCCCUAGUUCUGACCAUAAACGAUGCCAACCAGCGAUCCGCCUGAGUUACUCAAAUGACUCGGCGGGCAGCUUCCGGGAAACCAAAGUGUUUGGGUUCCGGGGGAAGUAUGGUUGCAAAGCUGAAACUUAAAGGAAUUGACGGAAGGGCACCACCAGGAGUGGAGCCUGCGGCUUAAUUUGACUCAACACGGGAAAACUUACCCGGCCCGGACACUGGGAGGAUUGACAGAUUGAGAGCUCUUUCUUGAUUCGGUGGAUGGUGGUGCAUGGCCGUUCUUAGUUGGUGGAGCGAUUUGUCUGGUUAAUUCCGAUAACGAACGAGACUCUAGCCUAUUAAAUAGGUGCGGGGUUCCCAGCACCUUACAACCUUCUUAGAGGGACAAGCGGCUCCUAGCCGCACGAAACAGAGCAAUAACAGGUCUGUGAUGCCCUUAGAUGUCCGGGGCCGCACGCGCGCUACACUGAAGGAAGCAGCGUGUCUUUAUCCCUGUCUGAAAAGACUGGGUAACCCGUGGAACUUCUUUCGUGAUUGGGAUAGGGGCUUGCAAUUGUUCCCCUUGAACGAGGAAUUCCCAGUAAGCGCGAGUCAUAAGCUCGCGUUGAUUACGUCCCUGCCCUUUGUACACACCGCCCGUCGCUACUACCGAUUGAAUGAUUUAGUGAGGUCUUCGGACCGAUGUCCGGCGCGGCCUUUCGGUUGCGCCGGUCUGUUGGAAAGAUGACCAAACUUGAUCAUUUAGAGGAAGUAAAAGUCGUAACAAGGUUUCCGUAGGUGAACCUGCGGAAGGAUCA